rnacentral:misc_RNA from 1 species
GAUGAAGAACGCAGCGAAAUGCGAUAAGUAAUGUGAAUUGCAGAAUUCAGUGAAUCAUCGAAUCUUUGAACGCACAUUGCGCCCGCCAGUAUUCUGGCGGGCAUGCCUGUUCGAGCGUCAUUUCAACCAUCAAGCCCCCGGCUUGUGUUGGGGACCUGCGGCUGCCGCAGGCCCCGAAAAGCAGUGGCGGGCUCGCUGUCACACCGAGCGUAGUAGCAUACAUCUCGCUCUGGGCGUGCUGCGGGUUCCGGCCGUUAAACCACCUUCAUAACCCAAGGUUGACCUCGGAUCAGGUAGGAAGACCCGCUGAACUUAAGCAUAUCAAUAAGCGGAGGA